rnacentral:rRNA from 1 species
GCGAACGUUAGCGGCGCGCCUAACACAUGCAAGUCGCACGAGAAAGGGCUUCGGCCCCGGUACAGUGGCGCACGGGUGAGUAACACGUGGGUAACCUUCCCAAGAGUGGUGGAUAACCUGCCGAAAGGCGGGCUAAUACAGCAUACGACGAGGGGACUUCGGUCUUUUCGUGAAAGCAGGCCUCCGUUCACAAGCUUGCGCUCUUGGAUGGGCCCGCGUCCCAUCAGCUAGUUGGUGAGGUAAUGGCUCACCAAGGCUACGACGGGUAGCUGGUCUGAGAGGAUGGCCAGCCACACUGGAACUGAGACACGGUCCAGACUCCUACGGGAGGCAGCAGUGGGGAAUCUUGCGCAAUGGACGAAAGUCUGACGCAGCGACGCCGCGUGGGCGACGAAGGCCUUCGGGUUGUAAAGCCCUGUGGGGCGGGACGAACCUGCAUCCGGAUAAUAACCGGGUGCACUGACGGUACCGCCUUAGCAAGCACCGGCUAACUCUGUGCCAGCAGCCGCGGUAAGACAGAGGGUGCGAACGUUGCUCGGAAUUACUGGGCGUAAAGCGCGUGUAGGCGGUUUCGCACGUCCGGUGUGAAAGCCCAGGGCUCAACCCUGGAAGUGCACUGGAUACGACGGAGCUGGAGUCCUGAAGAGGAUGGCGGAAUUCCCGGUGUAGAGGUGAAAUUCGUAGAUAUCGGGAGGAACACCAGUGGCGAAGGCGGCCAUCUGGACAGGUACUGACGCUGAGACGCGAAAGCGUGGGUAGCAAACAGGAUUAGAUACCCUGGUAGUCCACGCUGUAAACGAUGAGAACUGGGUGUCGCGGGUAUUGACCCCCGCGGUGCCGAAGCCAACGCGUUAAGUUCUCCGCCUGGGAAGUACGGCCGCAAGGCUAAAACUCAAAGAAAUUGACGGGGGCCUGCACAAGCGGUGGAGCAUGUGGUUUAAUUCGAAGCAACGCGCAGAACCUUACCAGCGUUUGACAUGGUAGGACGGUUUCCAGAGAUGGAUUCUUUCCCUUACGGGACCUACACACAGGUGCUGCAUGGCUGUCGUCAGCUCGUGUCGUGAGAUGUUGGGUUAAGUCCCGCAACGAGCGCAACCCUUGUCCUUAGUUGCCUAUCAUUUAGUUGGGCACUCUAAGGAGAACUGCCGGUCGACUAAGACGGAGGAAGGUGGAGGAUGACGUCAAAGUCAUCAUGGCCCUUAUGUCGCUGGGCUACACACGUGCUACAAUGGAUGGUGACAACGGGCUAGCAAACUCGCGAGAGUGAAGCCAAUCCCUAAAAAGCCAGUCUCAGUUCGGAUUGUCAUCUGCAACUCGCCGAGCAUGAAGGCGGAAUCGCUAGUAAUCGCGGAUCAGCAUGCCGCGGUGGAUACGUUCCCAGGCCUUGUACACACCGCCCGUCACACUACUGAGAGUUGGUUCACCCGAAGGCAGGUGGGUAACCGCAAGGAGGCCAGCCUGACCGAAGGUGGGGAUAGAGAUUGGGGUG